rnacentral:rRNA from 1 species
AAUUUUGGACAAGGGGGGUAAGCCUGAUCCAGCCAUCCCGCGUGAAGGAUUACGGUCCUAUGUAUUGUAAACUUCUUUUGUACAGGAAUAAACCUACUCUCGUGAGAGUAGCUGAAUGUACUGUACGAAUAAGCACCGGCUAACUCCGUGCCAGCCGCCGCGGUAAUACGGAGGGUGCAAGCGUUAUCCGGAUUUAUUGGGUUUAAAGGGUACGUAGGCGGACCCGUAAGUCAGUGGUGAAAUCUCAUAGCUUAACUAUGAAACUGCCAUUGAUACUGCGGGUCUUGAGUAAAUUUGAAGUGGCUGGAAUAAGUAGUGUAGCGGUGAAAUGCAUAGAUAUUACUUAGAACACCAAUUGCGAAGGCAGGUCACUAAGAUUUAACUGACGCUGAUGGACGAAAGCGUGGGUAGCGAACAG